rnacentral:rRNA from 1 species
CAACAGCGUAUAUUUAAGUUGUUGCAGUUAAAAAGCUCGUAGUUGGAUUUCGGGUGGGACGCAGCGGUCUCGCAUUGCGUUUGUACUGCUGCAGCCCUCCUUCUUGCCGGGGGCGGCCUCUCGGACUUCACUGUCUGGGGGUCAGAAUCGGCGAUGUUACUUUGAGUAAAUUAGAGUGUUCAAAGCAAGCUUACGCUCUGAAUAUAAUAGCAUGGGAUAACACGACAGGACUCUGGCCUAUCGUGUUGGUCUAUAGGACCAGAGUAAUGAUUAAGAGGGACAGUCGGGGGCAUUCGUAUUCCGUUGUCAGAGGUGAAAUUCUUGGAUUUACGGAAGACGAACAUCUGCGAAAGCAUUUGCCAAGGAUGUUUUCAUUGA